ACUCAUUUUUGGACUACAAAACCCUUAGUUGUGACUGAGCUAGUAGAUUAAUUGUCCUGGACCUUUGGGAACAAACUUUGUGUUCCAUAACUUUACUUGUAAAAAGGUGCUAAAAUGCACACACUAAAAUUACUCUGUGUGCAUUUCACUUACACUCUCAUGUGUGUUCAAUCAGCCUACCCUAGUUUAUCUAGAAUGGGAUUCAGAUUUCACCUGGGACAUGAAUCAUGAGAGUAAAAUUGUGUCUGGAAAGCAACAUUCUGACAAUGCUUCUUGAUGUCACAUCAGAAGAGUUGUAAGUACUGGGAAAAACUGUUAUUUAUCUUUAAUAGAUUGGAAGAUAUUUACAAGUUUGGUAAACUCAGAUUAAAAGUUUUUCAUUUUUUCUUGCAUAUUCAGCCUUGUAUAGGUCAACUUUGCAAAUUGACUGAAGAGAUAUAAGCUGCAAAAGGAUUUAAAGAGUUUUGCUCUUUCAUAUCAUAGUGGGUAAGCCAUACUCUCCCAGAAACAGUGGUAUGUAAAGAUAAGUGGCUUCUAAAGAAAUCUUGCUAGGAAAAUCAUAGGUAUACCCUAGGGUUGCCAUCAAUUAGAAAUAACUUGAGGGCACAUAACAAUACCAACAGUAUUGAAACACUUCUGUGAAACACUUCUGUGGCUAUAAUUCCAAACAGGUUCCAAGCUGGAAAAAAUGAACAUCAUCAAAACUGACUUCUAAAUAAGGAUGCCUGAGAAAAUAAUGUAGAGGAGAAAGAGUAAGCAGGGGCCUCACAGUCACUACUAUACACGUUGCUGCAGUUGCCCUCCUGAUGUCAGGAAAAGCACCCAGGGAUUGAGCACUCUGGAGUUCUGUAGCCACUGUCAUGGUGGAGGGAGCAACAGAAGCAACAAGAAAGAAAACUUAAAAGCAAUGGGUAUUAUGAAGAUGGAGAUGUCAUUAUUGGUGGCAUCUUCUCUAAUUUUCUUGGAAUGAUUGAGGAAACAACUAUUCCUUUUGAAAAAAAGCCAUCUCCUUAUUUACUGGAUGCAAUAAAAGAAAAGAAAUGUCAAAGUGGAAUUAUUUAAAAUACAGGCAUGGCAGCUUCACUCUUUCCUGAGGCAAAUCCGAUUUAAUAAUUCUGCAGGUGAAGAAAUAUCUUUUGAUGAGAAUCAUGAUUUGCAUUCUGGGUAUGACAUAUUAAACUGGGUCAUAUUUCCAAAUAAUUCCGCAGUAGCUACACAAGUUGGGAGUGUGGAACUUCAGGCUGCAUUGGGUCCCACCAUCACCAUCAAUGAUGAAUCUGUGGUGUGGAACAACAGAGAUAACCAGGUCAAGAACCUUGUUUCUCACAUCUGUAUCUUUAAGUAUCAAAAAGUAACAUAA